GGGGCUGCCUGGUUUUGACAGCAUAGGUCUUUGAAAGUGUAAGCAUGCCGUGCGUUGUAUAAUUAGCACGUAAAUCUGAAUAUACAAACUUUAAUUGGCGAAUCUAACUACGCCAUGGCUGCCUAAUUAAAUUAGGUACCCAUUAUAGCCGCCGCAAGUCUGCGCCUGCUAAGACUGCCGCCGCCGAAUCAACAAACUAGGAGGAUAGGUACUCAUGGUUUCUGUGAGUGAGUGCCGAAACAACAACGGAUAAGGACAAGGUUGGUUAGUUACGUCCCUGCCAAGUUCCGACACAUCAAUGCGUAAAUAAGCAUGUAGAAAGCUUUUGGAGGAUAUGUUUGGACGCGGGUUCGAUUCCCGCCAGCUCCACUG
rnacentral:tmRNA from 1 species